rnacentral:rRNA from 1 species
AGAACUGCCGGCGUUAAGCCGGAGGAAGGUGGGGACGACGUCAAGUCAUCAUGGCCCUUAUGUCCAGGGCCACACACGUGCUACAAUGGGCGGUACCAAAGGUCGCAAACCCGCGAGGGGAGCCAAUCCCAAAAAGCCGCUCUCAGUUCGGAUUGGAGUCUGCAACUCGACUCCAUGAAGUUGGAAUCGCUAGUAAUCGCGGAUCAGCACGCCGCGGUGAAUACGUUCCCGGGCCUUGUACACACCGCCCGUCACACCAUGGAAGCCAGCUGUACCGGAAGUCGGUG